CAUCUUCACCCUCUUUCUCUUUUCAGUCUGCCUCUCCACUUCCCCAUUCAACGCGUCUUCACCCAUCCCUUCAACCCGUGUUGCCUUUUCAAUUUCUCUUCAAUUGUCGAAUCCUACUUGCGCGCUUCUUCUUUCAUCCUCUUCUUCUCCAUGUUUCUCUUCGAUUCGGAGUUGAAAUCGGUGUCUAUUGUGUCAGGCGACUUAAACCCCUUUCAAUUUCGAUGUUGUUCUUAUUCUUCUUCUCCGUAUUUGCAUUUUUCCCUUUACACGACGCGGUUACUGUAUCUAUAUCUCUGUUCACCUUCUCUCUCACUCUCUGAAACCCUUCACGAAUUUGUUGAAGGCUUGCCUGAAAGGUUUCACCUCCAAAUUCGUUUUGGUUUUCAGCUUAGGGUUUUAUUGACCGGUGGGGAGUAUUCCUUGCCUCCAAAAUCGUCAAUCACAUGUUGGGUUUACAAAUUUGAACUCAACUUGCUGCUCCACUUGCCGAUUUGCUGGUAGGUGUUCCCAUUGCCAAUUUCUCUUCGCCUUCACUGAUUUUGGAGGGAUGCUACACGCCACAACCAUUUUUUAUGGCAUUCGAUGAGCUUGGGGCAUGGUUGGGAGGUCCUAUUGGCCGUCAUAGAAGGACGUUCCCAUCCACGAGUAUAUUCUUCUAAGAGUUACUAGUAUAUUACAAUAGUACUAUUGUAAUGGCCGUUUGUAGGCAUGGUUUUGUUAUUUUCAUAUUUUAUGGUCAGUUACACUUAUGAUUAUAAUUUAUUUUAUAUUGUUACAAACUUUAAUUUUUUGUUUUUUUCUUUUCUUUUUACUCGGUUUUCUAUAAAUUUGUUAGUGUACAUUUUGUUCAACAUUGUUAUUAUGCUUCAGUAUACGCACUAUUUACUAUCAAA